rnacentral:miRNA from 1 species
CAGAAGGUCGCUGGUUCGAUUCCAGCAUGAGGCACCGAGACUUUUUUGAGGAACUGAAGAAAUUAUGUUUUUGUUGGAAUUCGAAAUACUUUUUGGGACUUUCUGA